UAAGGAAAAUAUUUACAAAUAGCUGUUUUGUUUGCAAUGCUAUGUUUUUAGCAGCUGGACAAAUAUUCAGUUUAACUCUCAUUAUGUGUUUUGAACUUGUUUCUGAAUAAGUUUUUUCAUUCGUGAUCAGAAAUCAGAAGAAGCUGCUGAACAUAAUCGACCAAAAAUGGUAAAAAGUGAUAAUAGUCGAAGCAACGAGAUGCGAUGAUUUCUCGCCAAACAUGUGAAAAGGGCCCAUGUGCCAAAUGUAAACAAACCGAGAUUUAAUGUUUUUUUCAAUUUAAACAUGUCUAAUCUACCCUUGCGUGUAAGAAUUUUUGAUUGAAAUAAUCAUUUUAAAGGUUUUAUCUGCGAAUUAAAAAAGGGCCCAAGUUAAGUCGCAAUCUGCAUAGUUUGCUGAUGGGCCCUUUUACCUAUUCAGUUCAGAAUGUCAGUGCUCGUGUUUUGAACAAAAUUAUUUAGUGUAAUAUGGAGGGUGAUAAUUUCGAAGUGAUGUUGCAAGUAGCAUCAAAGAUUUUACGGUGUGAUGAAGCUGUUAAUUCAUUCAGUACUCCGGUCGUAGGCCGAUAUGAAGAGGCAGAAGCAAACAGAAGUCUUUUUGAUUUAUCUGCCUCAUUCCGUGAUGUUGUCACUUCCACGUGCAACAUCGUAUUUUACUCAACCUGAGAGUAAUCCUUUGGAUUUAUCGCAAACCAUGACAGAGGAUGAAGCAUUGGAUCUGUCAACGAAACAGUAUAGGAGUAGCAGUGACAUGGAUUCUCCAAUCAAUUUAGCUGUGUUGAAAGUUCAACGGCAGGGCGUAGAAGUAUCUGGCGAUAGGCCAUUUAAUUUAAUAACAGCUAGCAACAUUGCAACCUCCUCUGGUCAUUGCAAAAGAUUUUCGAAAGAAUUAGUAGUUCCGAGCACACUCAAAGUUAUAGAGAAUACAACCGCUAAGCCGAAUUCCGUCAACUCAUCUGCUAGUUGUCAAAAUUUAGCAUUAAACACAUCGAAGUUUGCAAUUUCCGUAUUACCGGACACACAAUUUUUGGAUACAAGUUUGAAAAACAAAAAUGACAGCGAAAGAAACGAUGAGACUGAUGACGAUGAUAGUGUGGAUAUGCCAUUAGGUGAUGCAUCAUUGCUGAACGACCUUUCUAUAUUCGAGUACUUCGAACCGUAAGGUAUUCGAAAGAAAAACGAAUGCUAAGAAAGCGACCGUAUACAACAACAAGGCUGUCCAGAUCACCAUUACUAGAAAAUGGGUAUAGGGCGGAUGAUGUAUAUAACAACACGGAUAUUUUCAUUAAUAUGGUGGCCACAGAUGAUUGCAGGUUACUAAUUCAACAAGAGAGAUAACUCGAGUAUAUUUCUUGCCUGGAGGAAAAGGUAUGGUGAAAGUUUGUAAAACCAUGUUUUUAGCGACGUUCGACAUAAAAAGCAAAAAAGUUCGGAUCAUUGCAUCAAAGUUGGUUAACGGCAUGUGCAUUGCGCAGGAUGACCAACGCUCCCACAAUUGCAAUCGAAACCUCUGAACUGCGGAACCUCCUCCCAUUUGUAAGCAACAAGCAAUAUUAUGAGGUGAUGCUUAAAAAUUUAGUGGUUAAAAAGCGUGGACGAAAAAAGUUAAGUAAAUGCGACGAUCAUUUCGAAGAUGAUAUGGACAGGCUUGAGGAAGAGUAUAUAAAAUGAAUAUAUCCGUGUACUUACGUAAAAACUUUAUUAUUAAAAUCAUUAAAAAUAAUUAUAAUGGAUAUUCGAUAGCAAAA